ACGAACGCUGGCGGCGUGCUUAACACAUGCAAGUCGAACGGAAAGGCCCUGCUUUUGUGGGGUGCUCGAGUGGCGAACGGGUGAGUAACACGUGAGUAACCUGCCCUUGACUUUGGGAUAACUUCAGGAAACUGGGGCUAAUACCGGAUAGGAGCUCCUGCUGCAUGGUGGGGGUUGGAAAGUUUCGGCGGUUGGGGAUGGACUCGCGGCUUAUCAGCUUGUUGGUGGGGUAGUGGCUUACCAAGGCUUUGACGGGUAGCCGGCCUGAGGGGGUGACCGGCCACAUUGGGACUGAGAUACGGCCCAGACUCCUACGGGAGGCAGCAGUGGGGAAUAUUGCACAAUGGGCAGAAGCCUGAUGCAGCAACGCCGCGUGCGGGAUGACGGCCUUCGGGUUGUAAACCGCUUUCGCCUGUGACGAAGCGUGAGUGACGGUAAUGGGUAAAGAAGCACCGGCUAACUACGUG
rnacentral:rRNA from 1 species